GACGAACGCUGGCGGCGUGCUUAACACAUGCAAGUCGAACGGAAAGGCCCUGCUUUUGUGGGGUGCUCGAGUGGCGAACGGGUGAGUAACACGAGAGUAACCUGCCCUUGACUUUGGUAUAACUUCAGGAAACUGGGGCUAAUACCGGAUAGGAGCUCCUGCUUCAUGGUGGGGGUUGGAAAGCUUCGGCUGUUGGGGAUGGACUCGCGGCUUAUCAGCUUGUUGGUGGGGUAGUGGCUUACCAAGGCUUUGACGGGUAGCCGGCCUGAGAGGGUGACCGGCCACAUUGGGACUGAGAUACGGCCCAGACUGCUACGGGAGGCAGCAGUGGGGAAUAUUGCACAGUGGGCGGAAGCCUGAUGAGGCAACGCCGCGUGCGGGAUGACGGCCUUCGGGUUGUAAACCGCUUUCGCCUGUGACGAAGCGUGAGUGACGGUAAUGGGUAAAGAAGCACCGGCUAACUACGUG
rnacentral:rRNA from 1 species